GACGAAGGGGGCUAGCGUUGUUCGGAAUUACUGGGCGUAAAGCGCGUGUAGGCGGUUAUCCAAGUUGGGUGUGAAAGCCUUGAGCUCAACUCAAGAAAUGCACUCAGUACUGGGUGACUAGAGGACCGGAGAGGAUAGUGGAAUUCCCAGUGUAGUGGUGAAAUACGUAGAGAUUGGGAAGAACACCAGUGGCGAAGGCGGCUAUCUGGACGGUUUCUGACGCUAAGACGCGAAAGCGUGGGGAGCAAACAGG
rnacentral:rRNA from 1 species